CGACGAGUGGCGAACGGGUGAGUAAUACAUCGGAACGUGUCCGCUCGUGGGGGACAACCAGCCGAAAGGUUGGCUAAUACCGCAUGAGUUCUACGGAAGAAAGAGGGGGACCCGCAAGGGCCUCUCGCGAGCGGAGCGGCCGAUGACUGAUUAGCCGGUUGGUGAGGUAACGGCUCACCAAAGCAACGAUCAGUAGCUGGUCUGAGAGGACGACCAGCCACACUGGGACUGAGACACGGCCCAGACUCCUACGGGAGGCAGCAGUGGGGAAUUUUGGACAAUGGGCGCAAGCCUGAUCCAGCUAUUCCGCGUGUGGGAUGAAGGCCCUCGGGUUGUAAACCACUUUUGUAGAGAACGAAAAGACACCUUCGAAUAAAGGGUGUUGCUGACGGUACUCUAAGAAUAAGCACCGGCUAACUACGUGCCAGCAGCCGCGGUAAUACGUAGGGUGCGAGCGUUAAUCGGAAUUACUGGGCGUAAAGGGUGCGCAGGCGGUUGAGUAAGACAGAUGUGAAAUCCCCGAGCUUAACUCGGGAAUGGCAUAUGUGACUGCUCGACUAGAGUGUGUCAGAGGGAGGUGGAAUUCCACGUGUAGCAGUGAAAUGCGUAGAUAUGUGGAAGAACACCGAUGGCGAAGGCAGCCUCCUGGGACAUAACUGACGCUCAGGCACGAAAGCGUGGGGAGCAAACAGGAUUAGAUACCCUGGUAGUCCACGCCCUAAACGAUGUUAACUAGUUGUUGGGAAGUAAAAUUCUCAGUAACGCAGCCAACGCGAGAAGUUAACCGCCUGGGAAGUACGGUCGCAAGACUAAAACUCAAAGGAAUUGACGGGGACCCGCACAAGCGGUGGAUGAUGUGGAUUAAUUCGAUGCAACGCGAAAAACCUUACCUACCCUUGACAUGUCAGGAAGCUCUUGUAAUGAGAGCGUGCCCGCAAGGGAGCCUGAAC
rnacentral:rRNA from 1 species